rnacentral:RNase_P_RNA from 1 species
GGGCCGGACAGUCGCGGGCGCAGCGCCGAAAGGCCGCGCGUGAGGAAAGUCCGGGCUCCACAGGGCAAGGAUAACGGGUAACGCCCGCCCAGAGCGAUCUGAGGAAAAGUGCAACAGAGAGAUACCGCCGGAGGAUGCUUUGCGCCCUCCGGUAAGGGUGGAAAAGUGCGGUAAGAGCGCACUCGAUGGCGCGUGAAAGUGUCCAUCGCUGUAAACUCUAUCCGGAGCAACACCGCAGAGGAGGCAAGGCUGGCCCGGCUGUCUCCGAGAAGGUGGCUGGAGCGUAUCGGCAACGGUACGCCUAGAUAGAUGACUGUCAGAACAGAACCCGGCUUACAGGCCCGAUCG